rnacentral:tRNA from 1 species
GCCGGAGUGGCGGAAUGGCAGACGCGCUGGACUCAAAAUCCAGUGGCCGCAAGGCUGUGUGGGUUCAAGUCCCACCUCCGGUA